rnacentral:rRNA from 1 species
UACGAAGGGGGCUAGCGUUGCUCGGAAUCACUGGGCGUAAAGGAUGCGUAGGCGGGUCUUUAAGUCAGGGGUGAAAUCCUGGAGCUCAACUCCAGAACUGCCUUUGAUACUGAGGAUCUUGAGUAUGGGAGAGGUGAGUGGAACUGCGAGUGUAGAGGUGAAAUUCGUAGAUAUUCGCAAGAACACCAGUGGCGAAGGCGGCUCACUGGCCCAUUACUGACGCUGAGGCACGAAAGCGUGGGGAGCAAACAGG